rnacentral:rRNA from 1 species
AUGCCUUACGAUGAGCGGUACACACCGUGCAUCAAGCAGGCAGGACUACUCCCGUGGAUUCUGUUGGUCAGCCAGUCCACGCCGAAUCUGAACGCUCCACUGGUGUCCGCUCUUGUUGAUCGGUGGAGGACAGAGACACACAGUUUCCAUCUUCGGACCGGGGAGAUGACUGUGACGCUCGAGGAUGUCUCGUUGAUCACCGGUCUUGCUAUCGAUUGGAGGCCUAUCUGUAUGAGCACCGAUUCUGAUAGGUGGCGCGAGCAGAUGAUUGCUCUUAUCGGUAUGGCUCCUACCGAGGCUGAGGCUAAUGUAGAGGAGGGAGAAGAGAAGAAGAAGAGGGAAAGGAAAGCAGCCAGAGAUGCUUUCACGUGGAUUCAAAAUAACUUUGUGACGUGCCCUUCGGAUGCCACUGAUGAUUUGAUCUAG